rnacentral:rRNA from 1 species
AGAGUUUGAUCCUGGCUCAGGACGAACGCUGGCGGCGUGCCUAAUACAUGCAAGUAGAACGCUGAAGAGAGGAGCUUGCUCUUCUUGGAUGAGUUGCGAACGGGUGAGUAACGCGUAGGUAACCUGCCUUGUAGCGGGGGAUAACUAUUGGAAACGAUAGCUAAUACCGCAUAACAAUGGAUGACCCAUGUCAUUUAUUUGAAAGGGGCAAAUGCUCCACUACAAGAUGGACCUGCGUUGUAUUAGCUAGUAGGUGAGGUAACGGCUCACCUAGGCGACGAUACAUAGCCGACCUGAGAGGGUGAUCGGCCACACUGGGACUGAGACACGGCCCAGACUCCUACGGGAGGCAGCAGUAGGGAAUCUUCGGCAAUGGGGGCAACCCUGACCGAGCAACGCCGCGUGAGUGAAGAAGGUUUUCGGAUCGUAAAGCUCUGUUGUAAGUCAAGAACGAGUGUGAGAGUGGAAAGUUCACACUGUGACGGUAGCUUACCAGAAAGGGACGGCUAACUACGUGCCAGCAGCCGCGGUAAUACGUAGGUCCCGAGCGUUGUCCGGAUUUAUUGGGCGUAAAGCGAGCGCAGGCGGUUUGAUAAGUCUGAAGUUAAAGGCUGUGGCUCAACCAUAGUUCGCUUUGGAAACUGUCAAACUUGAGUGCAGAAGGGGAGAGUGGAAUUCCAUGUGUAGCGGUGAAAUGCGUAGAUAUAUGGAGGAACACCGGUGGCGAAAGCGGCUCUCUGGUCUGUAACUGACGCUGAGGCUCGAAAGCGUGGGGAGCGAACAGGAUUAGAUACCCUGGUAGUCCACGCCGUAAACGAUGAGUGCUAGGUGUUGGAUCCUUUCCGGGAUUCAGUGCCGCAGCUAACGCAUUAAGCACUCCGCCUGGGGAGUACGACCGCAAGGUUGAAACCCAAAGGAAUUGACGGGGGCCCGCACAAGCGGUGGAGCAUGUGGUUUAAUUCGAAGCAACGCGAAGAACCUUACCAGGUCUUGACAUCCCGAUGCUAUUUCUAGAGAUAGAAAGUUACUUCGGUACAUCGGUGACAGGUGGUGCAUGGUUGUCGUCAGCUCGUGUCGUGAGAUGUUGGGUUAAGUCCCGCAACGAGCGCAACCCCUAUUGUUAGUUGCCAUCAUUCAGUUGGGCACUCUAGCGAGACUGCCGGUAAUAAACCGGAGGAAGGUGGGGAUGACGUCAAAUCAUCAUGCCCCUUAUGACCUGGGCUACACACGUGCUACAAUGGUUGGUACAACGAGUUGCGAGUCGGUGACGGCAAGCUAAUCUCUUAAAGCCAAUCUCAGUUCGGAUUGUAGGCUGCAACUCGCCUACAUGAAGUCGGAAUCGCUAGUAAUCGCGGAUCAGCACGCCGCGGUGAAUACGUUCCCGGGCCUUGUACACACCGCCCGUCACACCACGAGAGUUUGUAACACCCGAAGUCGGUGAGGUAACCUUUUGGAGCCAGCCGCCUAAGGUGGGAUAGAUGAUUGGGGUGAAGUCGUAACAAGGUA